rnacentral:tRNA from 1 species
GGGUGCGUAGCUCAGCUGGAUAGAGCAACGGCCUUCUAAGCCGUAGGCCGGAGGUUCGAAUCCUCUCGCACUCACCA